rnacentral:rRNA from 1 species
GCAGUAUUCUGACUGUGCUAAGGUAGCAUAAUCAUUAGUCUUUUAAUUGGAGACUGGUAUGAAUGGUUAAACGAGAAAUCAACUUUUUUUGUUAUAAAAAUUGAAUUUAAUUUUUUAGUGAAAAAGCUAAAAUAUAUCAAAAAGACGAGAAGACCCUAUAGAGUUUUAUAUUUAACAAAAUUUUUAUUUAAUAGAUUUAUUGGAUAAAAAUUUUGUAUAAUAUUUUGUUGGGGCGACAUUAAGAUAAGAAAAACUCUUUAUUUUUUAAACUUUAUUAUAAGAAUUGUUUGAUCCUUUAAAAAAGAUCACAAGAAAAAAUUACCUUAGGGAUAACAGCGUAAUCUUUUUUGAGAGUUCUAAUCGACAAAAAGGUUUGCGACCUCGAUGUUGGACUAAAAUUUAGGCAGGGUGCAGUAGUUCUGUUUUAGGGUCUGUUCGACCCGUA